CCAGUAAGUAUCGAAUCAUGCUUCCGCGAUGUGUUGGUAGCUUGCUCGGAUUGCACUAGAUCCUUAAGGUGCAAGAUGUGAAGGUGGUUUGAGUGCAUCAAUACAAAAGACACCUGACGUCACCUAGCACCCCAAAAUGUGUCACCGCUUCUGAUCGAAAUGCUUCUUACUACCAGUGCAAAAGACGGAAAUGGGGAUACUCCGUUUCACAUUGCAGCUCUUACUGCAUUUUCUUUCAAAAUAUUCAAGGUGUACCACUUGUGCAUUUUUUUUCGAAUAGAUAGGUACUUCCACAACUCGAUGCUCAUUGGUUCACUACUUUGUAUUAAUGGACAAGUUAGGAAUAGUGCCAGCUUUAUUCGGAACACACAGUAUGAUUUGCAAAUAGAAAUAGAACAGGAUGUACAUACCUCCUGCAUAAACUUCGCACUUGCAGGUGUCACCUCUGAUGGUUUGAUAAUCACGCAAUUACCGGCCGCAAUCGCACCCGCCAACGGCAAUAACGUAAGCAGUAGGGGAUAAUUCCAGGCACCGAUUACUAGGACAACACCGUACGGCUCGUUAAACAGGUACGUUUUGUCCAACCAGUUUGCGAAGGAUCUGGGAGGACGUUCCGGCUUCACCCAUUCGUGCAAGCUGUCGAUUGUGUUCUUCAAAUCGUGCACGAGAAGUUCGAUUUCGAUAACUUCGACUUCUUGUCUACUUUUUCUCAAGUCGGACGCGAGUGCUUCGACGAUGCGCGUGUUGUUUUCCUCGUACAUCCGUAGGAGCUGUUUCAGUUGCUUCAUGCGAAAGUUGACGUCUUUGGUGGCGCCGGUCUGAAAGGCAGCUCGAGCCGACUCCACCAUUUGGAGGGCCGAUUUUGGAUUUUGGUAGGCCAUUGAGUGACUAAAAAAAUCAAUUUACUUAUGCAGGUACUCACUUUCCAGAUUUAAUUAACGAAACCCAUUUCAAUUUCUAAUUAAGAGGUAAAGUCCAAGUGCAAGUGAAUAUGAAAUUAUUGGUAAACAAGUUCUUUGAGGUUAACAAGUUUUCCACCAGUGUCGUACCUGAAGGGCGGUGGAUGAAUCACAACCAGAUUUGAUAAAUUAAGCGAUUUUCGAACAAUUCUCUUGCGUAUGUAGUAGAAAAGUGGCACAGCAAUUACCUACGUUGUAAUCAAAUGCGGUUUGAUUUGAACGAAUUGAACCAUAUCCUCAAUUACCUAUUUGUGAUAAUUUAA